GAUGAAGAACGUAGUGAAAUGCGAUACUUGGUGUGAAUUGCAGAAUCCCGUGAACCAUCGAGUCUUUGAACGCAAGUUGCGCCCGAAGCCAUUAGGCCGAGGGCACGCCUGCCUGGGCGUCACACGUCGUUGCCCCCCCAUCUACUCCUUCGGGAUUGCGGGGGGCGGAUGAUGGCCUCUCGUGCGCCUCGUCGCGCGGUUGGCCUAAAUGCCAAGUCCUCGGCGACGCACGCCACGACAAUCGGUGGUUGCGAAACCUCGGUUGCCUGUCGUGUGCGGUCGUCGCGCAUCGAGGGCUCGAAAAAAUUGCCGGGCUUCGGCUCGACUUUCAACGCGACCCCAGGUCAGGCGGGGUUACCCGCUGAAUUUAAGCAUAUCAUAAGCGGAGGA
rnacentral:misc_RNA from 1 species